UCCUACGGGGCGCAGCAGUGGGGAAUAUUGCACAAUGGGGGGAACCCUGAUGCAGCGACGCCGCGUGGGUGAAGGAGUACUUCGGUACGUAAAGCCCUAUCAGCAGGAAAGAAAAUGACGGUACCUGAUGAAUAAGCUCCGGCUAACUACGUGCCAGCAGCCGCGGUAAUACGUAGGGAGCAAGCGUUAUCCGGAUUUACUGGGUGUAAAGGGCGCGUAGGCGGGAUGGCAAGUCAGAUGUGAAAUCCGGGGGCUCAACCCCUGAACUGCAUUUGAAACUGUCGUUCUUGAGUACUGGAGAGGUU
rnacentral:rRNA from 1 species